GGUCAAGUGAAGAAGCGCAUACGGUGGAUGCCUUGGCAGUCAGAGGCGAUGAAAGACGUGGUAGCCUGCGAAAAGCUUCGGGGAGUCGGCAAACAGACUUUGAUCCGGAGAUGUCUGAAUGGGGGAACCCAGCCAUCAUAAGAUGGUUAUCUUGUACUGAAUACAUAGGUGCAAGAGGCGAACCAGGGGAACUGAAACAUCUAAGUACCCUGAGGAAAAGAAAUCAACCGAGAUUCCCUUAGUAGUGGCGAGCGAACGGGGACUAGCCCUUAAGUGGCUUUGAGAUUAGCGGAACGCUCUGGAAAGUGCGGCCAUAGUGGGUGAUAGCCCUGUACGCGAAAAUCUCUUAGUCAUGAAAUCGAGUAGGACGGAGCACGAGAAACUUUGUCUGAAUAUGGGGGGACCAUCCUCCAAGGCUAAAUACUACUGACUGACCGAUAGUGAACUAGUACCGUGAGGGAAAGGCGAAAAGAACCCCGGAGAGGGGAGUGAAAUAGAUCCUGAAACCGUAUGCGUACAAGCAGUGGGAGCAGACUUUGUUCUGUGACUGCGUACCUUUUGUAUAAUGGGUCAGCGACUUAUUUUCAGUGGCGAGCUUAACCGAAUAGGGGAGGCGUAGCGAAAGCGAGUCUUAAUAGGGCGUCUAGUCGCUGGGAAUAGACCCGAAACCGGGCGAUCUAUCCAUGGGCAGGUUGAAGGUUGGGUAACACUAACUGGAGGACCGAACCGACUACCGUUGAAAAGUUAGCGGAUGACCUGUGGAUCGGAGUGAAAGGCUAAUCAAGCUCGGAGAUAGCUGGUUCUCCUCGAAAGCUAUUUAGGUAGCGCCUCAUGUAUCACUGUAGGGGGUAGAGCACUGUUUCGGCUAGGGGGUCAUCCCGACUUACCAAACCGAUGCAAACUCCGAAUACCUACAAGUGCCGAGCAUGGGAGACACACGGCGGGUGCUAACGUCCGUCGUGAAAAGGGAAACAACCCAGACCGUCAGCUAAGGUCCCAAAGUUAUGGUUAAGUGGGAAACGAUGUGGGAAGGCUUAGACAGCUAGGAGGUUGGCUUAGAAGCAGCCACCCUUUAAAGAAAGCGUAAUAGCUCACUAGUCGAGUCGGCCUGCGCGGAAGAUGUAACGGGGCUCAAACCAUACACCGAAGCUACGGGUAUCACUUAGGUGAUGCGGUAGAGGAGCGUUCUGUAAGCCUGUGAAGGUGAGUUGAGAAGCUUGCUGGAGGUAUCAGAAGUGCGAAUGCUGACAUGAGUAACGACAAUGGGUGUGAAAAACACCCACGCCGAAAGACCAAGGUUUCCUGCGCAACGUUAAUCGACGCAGGGUUAGUCGGUCCCUAAGGCGAGGCUGAAAAGCGUAGUCGAUGGAAAACAGGUUAAUAUUCCUGUACUUCUGGUUAUUGCGAUGGAGGGACGGAGAAGGCUAGGCCAGCUUGGCGUUGGUUGUCCAAGUUUAAGGUGGUAGGCUGGAAUCUUAGGUAAAUCCGGGAUUCUAAGGCCGAGAGCUGAUGACGAGUCAUCUUUUAGAUGACGAAGUGGUUGAUGCCAUGCUUCCAAGAAAAGCUUCUAAGCUUCAGGUAACCAGGAACCGUACCCCAAACCGACACAGGUGGUUGGGUAGAGAAUACCAAGGCGCUUGAGAGAACUCGGGUGAAGGAACUAGGCAAAAUGGCACCGUAACUUCGGGAGAAGGUGCGCCGGUGAGGGUGAAGGACUUGCUCCGUAAGCUCAUGCCGGUCGAAGAUACCAGGCCGCUGCGACUGUUUAUUAAAAACACAGCACUCUGCAAACACGAAAGUGGACGUAUAGGGUGUGACGCCUGCCCGGUGCCGGAAGGUUAAUUGAUGGGGUUAGCUAACGCGAAGCUCUUGAUCGAAGCCCCGGUAAACGGCGGCCGUAACUAUAACGGUCCUAAGGUAGCGAAAUUCCUUGUCGGGUAAGUUCCGACCUGCACGAAUGGCGUAACGAUGGCGGCGCUGUCUCCACCCGAGACUCAGUGAAAUUGAAAUCGCUGUGAAGAUGCAGUGUAUCCGCGGCUAGACGGAAAGACCCCGUGAACCUUUACUAUAGCUUUGCACUGGACUUUGAAUUUGCUUGUGUAGGAUAGGUGGGAGGCUUUGAAGCGUGGACGCCAGUUCGCGUGGAGCCAACCUUGAAAUACCACCCUGGCAACUUUGAGGUUCUAACUCAGGUCCGUUAUCCGGAUCGAGGACAGUGUAUGGUGGGUAGUUUGACUGGGGCGGUCUCCUCCUAAAGAGUAACGGAGGAGUACGAAGGUGCGCUCAGACCGGUCGGAAAUCGGUCGUAGAGUAUAAAGGCAAAAGCGCGCUUGACUGCGAGACAGACACGUCGAGCAGGUACGAAAGUAGGUCUUAGUGAUCCGGUGGUUCUGUAUGGAAGGGCCAUCGCUCAACGGAUAAAAGGUACUCCGGGGAUAACAGGCUGAUACCGCCCAAGAGUUCAUAUCGACGGCGGUGUUUGGCACCUCGAUGUCGGCUCAUCACAUCCUGGGGCUGAAGCCGGUCCCAAGGGUAUGGCUGUUCGCCAUUUAAAGUGGUACGCGAGCUGGGUUUAGAACGUCGUGAGACAGUUCGGUCCCUAUCUGCCGUGGACGUUUGAGAUUUGAGAGGGGCUGCUCCUAGUACGAGAGGACCGGAGUGGACGAACCUCUGGUGUUCCGGUUGUCACGCCAGUGGCAUUGCCGGGUAGCUAUGUUCGGGAAAGAUAACCGCUGAAAGCAUCUAAGCGGGAAACUUGCCUCAAGAUGAGAUCUCACUGGAACCUUGAGUUCCCUGAAGGGCCGUCGAAGACUACGACGUUGAUAGGUUGGGUGUGUAAGCGCUGUGAGGCGUUGAGCUAACCAAUACUAAUUGCCCGUGAGGCUUGACCAU
rnacentral:rRNA from 1 species